ACCCUCGGCGCAUGCGCCCUCGUGGUCUCGGGGGCCCGAUGUGGGCGGCCAUCUUUGUACGGGAGACUUCCGGUGGUGGGGGAGGUCGGGCGGUUCGAUCCCAAUCCUGACACCUGAAUAUUUUCAGUCUGCAUGUCCGGGUCCUCCGACAAGCCACUUCUUUGAGCUAUCAUUUGUGGCCAGGUCGCUUCUGAAAAAGAAGCUAAUAGCUCAGUGGGCAUUACCUGAUAAAAUAAAGCAUUGUUUAGUUUUAUUUGUAUAUCUUUCUUUAAUGAUGUUUACUUCACCUAUACUUUGCACUGUUUUUGUAUUGUUUACUGUUGUAUUGUGACCUGCCCCGACUGGAGAUCUGUGACAAAGAGCUUUAUAGCUCAUCGGAUUCCUCCUGCAGUAUAAAUAAAUAUUCUGAUUCUAAAUCACUUUCAGAGUUUAGAUGUCCUUUCAAGUGUUCGUACAAUUAAUCUAUGGCUCUACUUUGCUGACUUUUUUUAGACGCGUGUGUUUUUACAAUCCUACCGACCUCGGUGCUGUUUUUCUUACAAGAUUUUGUUUGUUCGAGAUGCGUUCUGCCAGCUUUGCUUCGUUCUUUGUGCUGGUAUUGCCAUGAUGUUGAUGCACGACUUUGCCAUUCGCAACUUCACUACGUACACAGUUGUUCGUUUUGGUUCACGUAUUUGUUUUGCUGUAGUAACCAAGUUUAUACGGUGUUUCCAGGUCCCCAUCGAAAAUGAGCAUUCAUUGCCCUAUGUGUUUUACCUGUGCCAAAAUAAACCAAACUCGUAACAUUG